GACGAACGCUGGCGGCGUGCCUAAUACAUGCAAGUUGAGCGAUGAAGAUUGGUGCUUGCACUAAUUUGAAGAGCAGCGAACGGGUGAGUAACGCGUGGGGAAUCUGCCCUUGAGCGGGGGACAACAUUUGGAAACGAAUGCUAAUACCGCAUAACAACUUUAAACAUAAGUUUUAAGUUUGAAAGAUGCAAUUGCAUCACUCAAAGAUGAUCCCGCGUUGUAUUAGCUAGUUGGUGAGGUAAAGGCUCACCAAGGCGAUGAUACAUAGCCGACCUGAGAGGGUGAUCGGCCACAUUGGGACUGAGACACGGCCCAAACUCCUACGGGAGGCAGCAGUAGGGAAUCUUCGGCAAUGGACGAAAGUCUGACCGAGCAACGCCGCGUGAGUGAAGAAGGGUUUCGGAUCGUAAAACUCUGUUGGUAGAGAAGAACGUUGGUGAGAGUGGAAAGCUCAUCAAGUGACGGUAACUACCCAGAAAGGGACGGCUAACUACGUG
rnacentral:rRNA from 1 species